rnacentral:lncRNA from 1 species
UCGUUCUUUACUUGACUGUUGGCUGUUGUGUCGAAUAGAGGUACCAUAUAGAAUGGCGGAUGAUUUCAUCCAACUUAUUUUAUAACAUCAAGCAAUUUAAAGUAAAGUAAAAAGUUACCAGCAAGGGUUGUCGAGUUAGGGAGACAUGUGUGUGACAACUCCUGUUGGAGCCUAAUAGGAAUCAUUCGCCAUUUGGGAGAAACCCUACCAUGAAGUCAUAGACCUUAUUUGACCACCUAGAGAAACCACUACAGCCACAGUCAAGGCAUCAUGGGAGUAUGUCUAUUUGGGAGCAAGCUAUGGGAGCGUUCCAGCUCAGUUUUCGUCUUGGCACCUGGGCCUACAGGAGUCAUGGGUCGCACCAUCCUGGUGCAUCAUUUUCUAGGAUGCAACCGCAACCUUUUUAGGAAUCAUUGGGAUUCGUUUGGAAACAAUUAGUGUGUUUUAGUAACUAUUGGUUUUUUUUUUACAUUUCAGACUCUCGGUUUAAUGCGCUAUGUUAAUUAAUUUUUUUUCCAGAUUUAGUUUACCUCUGGUUUUUUUUUAUUAAUAUGACAUAUUUGUAUAUUAGAUUAUUUGGUUCCCAAACUUUGUAUCUACGGUAACUUCUUGUGCACAGGAAUAAGCCUAGAGAAAAUUAGGUUUUUAAUACUUUAUUAUUGCUUUGAUAUUGGUUUAUGUAAUUCGGGUAAAUUUAUUUUUUUAUAUUACUAGCUUGUUUCCCAAAUAUUUUAUUGUUAUUCGCUUUAUUCCAUUUGUUCGGUUAAUUUAGGUCAUCGUAGGUAUUUAUCUCAACUUCAUUUCUAUUUCAUUCCUUGUAAAUUUAACUUGCUUCCUUCAUUAUUGUAUUUUCCCUUAGUGAGGCUUGGGCCUAUUUAUUUAUAUUACUUUUAAUAUUCAUCGGUUUCAUUUGGUUGUACGUAGCAGGCGUACUAUAACCAUUUGGUAGAAGACUUAUGUAAUUUUGUACCCUAUAUGUAAGUAAGAGGUAUAUCUUUUGUACAUACAUAUAGCAGGACUGUUGUUAUAUGAUAUAUCAGGUUUAACUUAACUUCUGUAUAACUUAUGUCAUUUUAGAGUCACAUGAUAUACACUUUGUGUAACUCAGAGAUUGUCAAAAAUCUAGUAGUUAUUUUUAAUAAAUAUUUAUUUAUUUUGUA